rnacentral:lncRNA from 1 species
UUUUUAAUGUAUUUGGCAUUUUUUCUUUCACGUUCUUGUUUAGCUGUUGUUUGCUGGGAUUUUUUUUUUUUUCCCCGUCUUUGUCUGUAUAAAUCCUUUCAUUCGCCAUUGUAUAUUGUUGUCUUUGCUUUUUUUUUUUUUUUUUUUUUUUUUUUUUUUAAUAUAUCUUUGUGUGUGUGUGUGUGUGUGUUUACGUUUUUUGUCCUUUUGUUCUUUUCAGUGUUUUAUGUGUUUGGCCUGUUUUGUCUCUCUUUGUAUUCUGGGGUUUUUUUGAACUGUUGUUUGUUCUUUGCUUUUUUAGGUUUUCUGUUUUCUUCUCUUUUUUUGUUGUUUCUUGCCUUUUUAUUUAGUUUUUACUUUUCUGUUUUAAGUGUUUUUGGUUUUGUUCUGAAUGUCAUUGCUUUGCUUUGCUUUCUUUUGUUUUUGCUUAGUUUUCUUACAGCUUGUUUUUUUCCUUUGCUUUCCACUGUUCUCUUCACUUGGGUUGGAUUUUCAUGGCAGUUUCUUUCCAUUUCCUUUCUCUUUUUCCUGAAUAUUCCUUUUCAUUUUAUUCUUUUCUCCAUUGCUCCUUUGUUCUUGGUUUUCAUUCCUACCUUUCUUUUGCGUGGCCUUUCAUUCUGCUUGCUUGACUUUGCUUUGUCCUUCUACUUUGCUAGUUCUCUUUUAUUCUCUUUUCUUUCUCUUUCUUUUCUGUUUCUAUUUCCGUUUACUUCCUCUUGCAUUAGUUUGAUUAAUUUUCUCCCCUUUCUUUGUUUGAAUCCUUUGCUUUGCAAUGAUAUUGCAUUGUCUGUCUUUGCUUUGUUUUUCUGUUCCUUAUUGUAGUUUUGCUUUGAUUUUUCUUAGUCUUUUUUUCUCCUGCCUGUUUUUCUUUCGUUUCGUUAGUUAUUUAUUUUCUGUUCGGUGUUUUGUUCCCUUGGAUGUCAUAGGCUUUGUUUGCGUUUUUUCCCCCUAAGUUUACCUACUUUCUACUUUGCUGCUUCUCUUCUAUUUCUGUUUGUUUUCUUUUUUCUUUUUUUUUUCCAUGUACUCUCCUUAAAUUUGUAAGCUUUUUGAUUGUCUCACUGUGUUUCUUUGCAUUCUUUGCUUUGCCAUAUUCUUGCAGUAGCAGUAUUUCUUUUUUAUUUCUAUUUCUAUUA